rnacentral:rRNA from 1 species
UACGGAGGGUGCAAGCGUUAUCCGGAUUCACUGGGUUUAAAGGGUGGCGUAGGUGGGCUUGUAAGUCAGUGGUGAAUCUCCGUGCUUAACAUGGAAACUGCCAUUGAUACUAUAGGUCUUGAAUUUUCUGGAGGAUAGCGGAAUAUGUCAUGUAGCGGUGAAAUGCUUAGAUAUGACAUAGAACACCAAUUGCGAAGGCAGCUCACUAAGCAAAUACUGACGCUGAGGCACGAAAGCGUGGGGAUCAAACGGG